rnacentral:rRNA from 1 species
UACGUAGGGUGCAAGCGUUGUCCGGAAUUAUUGGGCGUAAAGAGCUCGUAGGCGGUGUGUCGCGUCGGCCGUGAAAACCUGCAGCUUAACUGUGGGCUUGCGGUCGAUACGGGCAUCACUGGAGUUCGGCAGGGGAGACUGGAAUUCCUGGUGUAGCGGUGAAAUGCGCAGAUAUCAGGAGGAACACCGGUGGCGAAGGCGGGUCUCUGGGCAACAACUGACGCUGAGGAGCGAAAGCGUGGGGAGCGAACAGG